GAUCUGUUCUAUAGGCUCGUACCAUUGUGUCCUUGAGUUCUAAGGAGACAAGAACCUAAGCCUGGUUGAUGAAUCAUGACCGUGUGAUCAGAGCGUGAUUAAUGGCUCUGAUGGGCUUCUCUUCUGAGAGUGUCAUCUGUUGCAAUGGAGGAUCGUUCUCAGACAGUGUUAAAACUGGCUGGGGGAUGGUUACACGGUUGUCUGACAGGUUCAACAUUUUUUUCUUCAUAUUUCCCUUUUGUUAUGACUUUUUUUUUGUGCAGAGGAGAAGUGUGAGUGACACAAAAAGUGCAUAUUUAAAUAGAAUGUGAGUAUAUAAAGAGUGUGGUAGUGAGUAUAUAAAGAGUGUGGUUAAAAUACCUUUGCAUCCAAAGCAAGCAGUGAUUGAAAUCAACAUGCAACAUAAUAGAAGCACAGCGUUUUACUUAACCUUGGUCCUUGCAACAGAGUACAGAUGCGUUUUAGUUCCUGAGGUAGAUGAUGACUCCCAAUUUUGAUUUUAAGUUUUCCAGAUUGAGGCAAACCUUUC
rnacentral:lncRNA from 1 species